rnacentral:rRNA from 1 species
GACGAACGCUGGCGGCGUGCCUAAUACAUGCAAGUAGGACGCAGUUGCGAACGGGUGAGUAACGCGUAGGUAACUACCUAUUAGAGGGGGAUAACUAUUGGAAACGAUAGCUAAUACCGCAUACUAGUAGAUGGACCUGCGUUGUAUUAGCUAGUAGGUAGGGUAAUGGCCUACCUAGGCAACGAUACAUAGCCGACCUGAGAGGGGGAUCUGCCAAACUGGGACUGAGGCCCGGCCCAGAAUCCUACGGGAGGCAGUCGUAGGGAAUCUUCGGGAAUGGGGGGAACCUCUAACGGGGAACGCCGCGGGAGUGAAGAAGGUUUUCGGAUCGUAAAGCUCUUUUGUUAAGGAAGCGGUACUUAACCAGAAAGGGACGGCUAACUACGUGCCAGCAGCCGCGGUAAUAC